rnacentral:lncRNA from 1 species
CCUGAUCGAGCAUUGCUCUCUGGGCUGAGUUCAGUUGAUUGCCGGAGUUAAGGUCCCUGAUCGAGCGAUGCUCUCUGGGCGCCGGCUUAUUUGGAAUUCAAGUGUUCAGGCUGGAGGUAAGGACCCUGAUCGAGCUUGCUCUCUAGGCGCCAGUCUUAUUGGAUUAAGAGAGCCGAAUGGCUACUAGAUUUUGGGGUUUAGGGUUCUACCGAGCCACUCGUCCCGUAAAAGUAAAAAUAUAUUUUUAUUUAUUCAUUUAUUUAUUUAUUAUGGUAUAAUUAUAAUGUGAUUUGUAUUUACGUGCAUGGUUGAUAUUUUGAUUCGAAUGAUUAAUAUUUUAUGUGAAGGAAAUAGUAGGGUAUGAUUAUAGUAUGGUUUGAUAUACUGAUUUGAAUAAUCUAUGUUUUCUGAGAAGAAGCAAUAGUCCCUAGAUUAUUUGAUUUUAACUCACUCUCGAGACUGACAGUCUCCAUUUAUGUUUUUUUUCAGAUUCGUGACUGUUAGUUCUCC